GGUUCAGAAAUCUUCUCAGUGAGCUGCUAUUCAGACUCAGAAAGUAGCUUGGAGAAUACUCCAGACGUUAGGCUUUGCAAGUUUUUGUUUACAUAGAAAAGUCUCUUUUAAAUUUCCUUAUUCUUGCACUGCAAAGAGACCUAACCUUGAUGGGUCCCAUCUGCAAUGCUCCUCCUGAAAAGAGACAGAGCUGUUUAACUGAACUGACCUAUUUGGAGGACGAAUAGACUGAUUGAAAAAGGUGCCCAGGAAGUCCUGGAACUGAGUCCUGGGGCAAGGUUCUGGAAGGUGGGACAAGAAGACAGCCCUGGUAAUUCUACUGGAAUAUAAUCUCCACGAAGAUAGAUUCCUAGAAAAGAGGAAAACAAUCACUCUAGAACUGUUAUAAGCAUGCUAACCAGGACUUCAGAGAAAGGAAAAAAAAAGGCUGAACCUCGCUGGUGAUUCAGAUGGAUCAUGAGGAUCUUUCAACAAAGCUAAGUUCCCGUCUUUUAACACAGUUAUUCUCAUACUUUUAUACUGAAAUAUCCAGAAUAGCAAAUGAGUUAAAUAUGUUUUCUGUGGGGUUCUGUACGAAGAGGAUUUAGAGCUUUAUGAACCUAAAAUAACAUAUCACAAGGAGAAAAUUUAUUUGAAGUGGGAGACUUGGCUUAAAAGCAUCUAAUAUAAAUUGUAUAUUAUAUUCAAUAAUACAAAAGCAAUGCUUUAUUUAGAAUGAAUUAAAAUGCAUGCUUCAGACAAAUGCAUGAUGUUUAGCUUUUGAUUUACUGAAUAUACUAUUCAACAGAUGUUUGAGUUACAUAGUUUGAGGAGCACAGGCCUUUGGUAUUGAUGGCUCCUGUUAAAAUAAAAACAUGUUUUCUGAGAGCAUAAUCAUAUGAAACCAGGAGCACAUAUUAACAUAAAACUCAAAUCACUUCCCCUGACUUUCUUCUUUCAAAUGUAAAGAAAGUGGGAAACAGGACAGAUGAAUUUGAAGAAACAGAAGAGCUCAGGAAAGUUCAAAGCAUGAAGCAAACUCAAAAGUAUAUCUAAAUACCUAGGGAGCACCUUCAAAGCACAAGGUACCUGAAGAUGAAACAGCAGAAGUGAAAAGAAUUGCUCAUGUAGUACAGGGCUAAAAUUGUACCUGAAGCAUCUCUGCUGCUAUCCCAGGAGAAGAAGAGUCGACAGUAGCUAUGGUAAACAUGCAUGGAAGCAUCAGGGAAAACAGAAAUUUAGAGAAGCAGAUAGAGUGAGCCCAAGGCAAGAUAAGGGUUUCUGGGUCUGAAUUUCAGAAAAGCCUGACUAUGGAGAGUGGGAGUUCCUGUUUUCUUUCAGUGACUUGCUAAUUUCAAUUUUGUGUGUGUGUGGCAUUAACAGAUUUUUGCCUAACUUGGGACAUUUUUAACAGUAGAGGAUCUCUUCUGUCAGUUCUGAUAUGGUAAUUUUAAAACACAUAUUCUUUAACUGAACAUUCAUUAAAUCACUUGGCCAGGAAUCCAAAUAACAAAAUGUCUAUCAUGGAAUUCUGUGUGUAAUAGAAGUUAUGUAACUUGUUUCUUCUUAGUAGAGAGAAUAAAAAGUAAAAUCAAAACCACCCCCAGAUGACCAUUUUUAGCACUUUCAUUUUAUCGGGAGAGGUGAGCAACAUGCAGAAAAUAUAUAUUCUUGAAUUAAUCUCCUUUGGGUACAGAGAGAAAAGAGCUCAUUAUUCUUCUAACUGGCAACAUUUGAUUUUAUUGACACCCUAACAGUAUGUCAGUUGCUCAGUAUAUCUCCCUAGGCUGUAGUCUUGCAGACUUUCUUUUUUCUUUUUUUUUUAACUUACCAAUUCUAUGAUGUAUUCCCAUGGAUGUCUCUUUUUAUGCUAUUUUACAAUCUAUUUCUAGAAUAAUAAUGGAAAUUUCAAUGGAAACAACAUAUCACAUUCUCUGUCUACUACAUAAGUAUGUCUUUUUUAUUUGUAAAUAGAUCAUAUUUUGCACAUAAUUAGGUAAUACCCACAUAUCUUAAUUUGGCUUAGAAAUUAUAUUGAAAGAUAGAAUUGCAUAAGGGUAGGGAUUUUACUUUUAAAUUAUUUUCAUGUCUCCGUGGAUUGGCUCUGUGCUUUACACCCAGUAGCUGUGAAACAAGUACUUAUUUAAUGAUGAAUGAAUAAAUAAAUAAAUAGUUAAAUGCAGCAACAAAAAUGUUGGUAGAUAUAUAGGAUUGUAGAAUUUAAUUGCUUGGUAGGAUCAUCAAGUUCUACCCAAAUUUGGUGUGGCAAACAGAACAAUGGUCCCUUAAAGAUGGCCUAGUCCUAACCUCCCAAACCUGGAAUAUGUUACCUUAUGUAACAAAGAGACUUUGCAGAUGUAAUUAAGUUAAUGAUCUUAAGACAGAAAUAUUAUUCUAAGUGAACUCAAUGAAAUUACAAUGAACAAUGUUCCUUAAAAGAGGAAGGCAAAAGUUCAGAAUAAAACACACAUACACACAUAAAGUGGCUAUGAAAGCAGAAGUAGUGAGAGAUUUGAAGAUGCUACCUUACUAGAUUCAAAGACAGAGGAAGGGGUUAAAAUCUAAGGAAAUCAGGCAAGGCAGCCUUUCGAAGCUGCAGAAGAUAAGGAAAUGAAUUCUCCCUAGAACUUCCAGAUAGAAACAGCCCUACUGAUUCCUUGACAUUAGCUCAGUGAAACGUAUUUUCAGACUCUAACUUCCAGAUCUGUAGGAGAUAAAUUUGUGUUGUUUAAGCUACUACAUUUGUGGCACUUUGUCAAAGUAGCAAAAGGAAACGUAUAUUUGGUAGGCAUCAGAAUUUCCUGAGCAAUAUAGUGUGAUUACCUUUGAAAAUUCUACUCAGCAGUCCUGGAAUUGCAGCCUGAAAUUUGAAAUUUACUAAGUGCUCCCACUAUAUCUGAGUCAGGAAUUACCUAGGAAACCAUGAUAUAUUGCAUUACACUAAUUUUGUACUUGAGAAAAAGCACAAUGUUAAAAUCUCAAGAACAUUAAUAUAGACUUAAGUACAAUUUAUCAUGUAAAAACAUAUUUGAAAAAGUAAGCCUGAAAAAAAGAAA